rnacentral:rRNA from 1 species
AUUGAACGCUGGCGGCAUGCCUUACACAUGCAAGUCGAACGGUAACGGGCCUUCGGGUGCCGACGAGUGGCGAACGGGUGAGUAAUACAUCGGAUCGUGCCCGAUCGUGGGGGAUAACGAGGCGAAAGCUUUGCUAAUACCGCAUACGAUCUACGGAUGAAAGCAGGGGACCGCAAGGCCUUGCGCGGACGGAGCGGCCGAUGGCAGAUUAGGUAGUUGGUGGGAUAAAAGCUUACCAAGCCGACGAUCUGUAGCUGGUCUGAGAGGAUGAUCAGCCACACUGGGACUGAGACACGGCCCAGACUCCUACGGGAGGCAGCAGUGGGGAAUUUUGGACAAUGGGCGCAAGCCUGAUCCAGCCAUGCCGCGUGCAGGAUGAAGGCCUUCGGGUUGUAAACUGCUUUUGUACGGAACGAAAAGCCUUCUUUUAAUACAGGAGGGUCAUGACGGUACCGUAAGAAUAAGCACCGGCUAACUACGUG